CUUUUGUUUAAUUAAGCAAGCCACUAUUUAUUUAUUUAUAAGACAAGUAGACAGCAUGUUAAUUUUAGAUUGGUAUUUCUAAGUAGUAUGGCUACUUAACUUAUAAACAACCUUUCGCUUGACUAAUGAGUAAUGUUAAUAUAUUGGAAUGAGAUAGAACAGACAGCAAUGUAUUGUUAGCUGUGAAAGAUUCUGUCAGAACUGAACCAACUGAUUUUUGUUUCAGCUUCAUUGGAACUUGCUUCUGUUGACUGCAUGUUGUGAUUAAUCGUCAUCUAAAAAAUGUUCUUGUCGCUGUGUGUUAUCGCCUUCCUGAUUCUUCAAUUGAUUUCCUGCACGAACUAAUAGGUAAUAAUAGGUUUCUUGAAAUUUGUUGCUGAUUCUCAAUUUAUAAAGAUGUUGUUUUAAUCGGCGACUUUAAUUAUCCCAAUAUUCAAAUAAUUCAAUGGUCUGACGGAUCGGGUUUUUCAACCAUACUGAUUGGAAAUUGGUUUCCUUGACCUUAUCACUGACAUUAGUUACUUGCAAUUAAUCAACUCAUGAUCAUCUACUGGCUCGUGGGCCAUAAUGGGCUAUUCCAUUAAAUAUCCGUACCCCCCGUGUCGAGGAUCCCUGGAAUUCUUCAGGGGUAAAGGGUUUUGAGCUUGGAAUUCUGCAGGGGUAAAGUGUUUUGAGCUUGGAAUUCUUCAGGGGUAAAGUGUUUUGAGUUUGGAAUUCUUCAGGGGUAAAUGGUUUUGAGCUUGGAAUUCUUCAGGUGUAAAGGGUUUUGAGCUUGGAAUUCUUCAGGGGUAAAGAGGUUUGAGAUUGAAAUUUUUCAGAGCUUGGAAUUCUUCAGGGGUGAAGGGAUUUGAGCUUGGAAUUCUGCAGGGGUAAAAGGUUUUGAGCUUGAAAUUCUUCAGGGGUAAAGGGUUUUGAGCUUGGAAUUCUUUAGGGGUGAAGGGUUUUGAGCUUGGAAUUCUUCAGGGGUAAAAGGUUUUGAGCUUGGAAUUCUUCAGGGGUAAAGGGUUUUGAGCUUGGAAUUUUGGAAUUCUUCAGGGGUAAAAGGUUUUGAGCUUGGAAUUCUUCAGGGGUAAAGAGUUUUGAGCUUGGAAUUUUGGAAUUCUUCAGGGGUAAACAGUUUUGAGCUUGGAAUUCUUCAGGGGUAUGACAAUGAAAAACAUGUAUCCUCGACAGGGGGGGUACGGAUAUUAAAUGGAAUAGCCCAAUCUCAAUUG